CCUGUCCCUGAACGUGGACAAAACUAAAGAGAUGGUUUGUUGACUUUAGGAGAUCACAUACCAAUCACUCUCCACUGAACAUCGACGGCUCCUCUUUGGAGAUCGCAAAGAGCACCAAAUUCAUUGUUGUUCAUCUGACUUGAGAACUUCACCUGGUCUCUCAACACCAGCUCCAUAGCAAAGAAAGCUCAGCAGCCUCUUUACUUUUUAUGCAGACUGAAGAAAGCACAUCUCCCCUCCCCUCCCACCGACCACAUUUUACAGAGGGACUGAGCACCUGCAUCACUACCUGGUUUGGGAAUUGCACCAUCACAGAUCGCAAGACCCUGCAGCGGAUCGUGAGGACAGCUGAAAAGAUCAUCAGAGUCUCUCUCUCCUCUAUCACAGACGUUUACACCACUUGCUGCGUUCGGAAAGCCAUCACUAUUACUAGCGACCCCACACACCCCUCACACCAGCUCUUCACCCUUCUGCCAUCCAGAAGAAAGUACUGAAGCAUUUGGGCCCUCACGGUCAGAUAGUGUGACAGUUUCUUCCCUCGAGUCAUCAGACUCCUCAACUCCAUGAGAACUGACCUGACAACUACACUCACACAUGUACACCCCUACUAUAAAUACUUGAAUUACAAACACUUGGAACCCAACUGCAUACUUUGCAUGUCCGGACAUUUGCAUGAAUCUACCUCAAUAUUGUGCCUUGUCUAUUAAUAUUGUGACCUGUUCUAUGUAUAAAAAUAUGUAUAUGUUUAUAUAUGUAUAUAUACAUAUAUUGUAAUGUCCCAUUCAUGUUUCAUUCAGACAUGCAGACGCACUUUAUGUAGUCUGUACUUUGCUUUAUGUUCAACUUUUUUACUUUUACUUCUUCUUCUUCUUCUUCCAGUUUUAGUAUUAUGUUAGAUUAUUUAAGAUAAUUUAAUUAUGUAUAGUCCUUUGCAAAGUACAAUGUGAGUUUUGUAGUUAAUGUUGUCUUGUGUAGCACCAUGGUCCUGGAGAAACGCUGUUUCGUAGCUGUAUAGAGCUGAAAUGAUAAUAAAGCCUCUCUGACUUUGACUGACUUUUUUUUAUAAAUUGAGUUUUUCCUUCCGUUUUUAAAAAAAUUUCCGUCCACAUGAAAGUGCAAACGCAUGCUAUGAUGCACUGUAAAGAGCAGGCCAAGCCAACAGGUGGGGAUAUAAUAUAUAUGUAACAUAUAAUCUCCACCUUAAAGCCACGUUGGCCAAUCAGAAGCCUGAAAAAGUUUCCAGUAGAAGGAGAUAACAGCACAUGCUCAAAUGUCACGAGCCAAAAUCUCCAGUUUCGCUGUCUACAUGAUAACACUGCAAACAGAGUUUCUGAAAAUCUUCUCCCUGGCAGGAGUUUUCAAAACAGUUUGAGUGACCUGGUUUUCAUUCCUGCUGUUCUGUUUCCCAGUGAUUGAUUGUGUUGGUCAGUUCAGCUGUGUCCUCAUUAGCUGACCCUCCUCACCUGUCUGUCCCUCAUUAGCACAACUUUAGUUCUGGCCCGCUCAGUUGUCCCUCGUCCAGUGUUGUGAAUGCUGCUCCUGUGAUUCACCCUGUGUUGAUUUAUUAAAAGACAUGUUUUUCCUUCAUCUUCAUGAGAGAGUUUAUCUUGGACACACAUACUGUGACACAUAUAUAUUAAUAAAUUGGAGAUUGAUGCAAAAGCAAAUCAUAUAAAGACAGUAAUGCUUGUUUUUUUUCUAUUUCAGUAUAUAUUUUUUGAAUGUUUAAUAUAUUAUCAAUAUUUAUAUAUUGUGAAGUGGAGAUGGAGCAACAGCAAACACAUGAAAGCCGGUCUGAUGGUUUGCAUGUUUAUGUUUUUUUUCGAGUUGCUCAUGAAAGCAGGAGGUUUGUUCUUCAAAGAGCGUGAGGAAGAUGAAAAGAUCCACAUGAAAGGAUGAAGGUCCAUCUGAAAGACCUCUGCUGGCGCUGUGUGAAGGACGCAUGGAGGACCGGUGUGUGAAGUGACCGGGGCUGAAGAGAGACGUCCAGAUGACAGCAGCUGCUCUUCGGGAAUCUCAGCAGUUCUGCUGCGCAUCGAGCUGCACGUCUCUACAUCCUCCUCCACGGAUUUCACUACUCCAUCCACCCACCAUCCAUCCAUUUUUGACUGGGCCCAGGAGGAUUAUGCCAUUCUUCACAGGACGAGAUCUCAGAGCGUGGGCAGGAGAGUCAGCAGCGAGCCCCUAAUGACACAGCGACACCCACACACGUCCAAAACCAAUUUUACCCUCACUAAAAGAACAGCCCUCGCACGUUUCCAUGCAUACAAAUGGCUGAUCGAUGGCGGUCAGCGACUCUCGGCCCUCUGAGAUAUAGUGAGCUCCAGAUCGAUGCCAAUGACAGGUGUUAGAACCACAGACCCCUCCAACAACAAUCCCUGGAAAUGUUGGUUUCCACUCGUCUCUCGUAAUCUCAUUAGGGACAUGAAUGGCUCCCUUUUGAAAGGCGCUGAUGCCGGAGAAGAGGAGGGCGGCAUGGAGAAUGAGUAUUGGAUUUGAGUAAUCCGGGACAGAGGGCAGCGUUCCAUCUCUUGUGCUGGAGCUGCAGAUAAGGCGUCGUCUAUUGAGGGCUCGUCAGCGCUCACACUCAGAAGGUGUCUUGCAGAGUAAGGUGACCUGCUUUUGUACAGUCGUGCGUUUGUGAAAGAGUCACCCAUCAGAUAACAUGAUCACGAACGGUUCAAAAGAAAGCUGGAAGGUGCAUCUUUGUACCUUAUUCACAUCUAGAUGUACAUAUUAGACUACAUAUUAGCAGCUAAAGUGUACAUAUUAGUAUCUUUUGAAGGGGUUUCAGCUCAGGUUCACAUGAAGCGCAGUUGAUAUAAACCUUAUUUGACACAAACUGAAAUCAAAGAAUGAAAAACUGGUGUGACAUCUUUUCAUUUAAAAACCGGCCAAAAACAAAGUUCAUUUUCAAGUUUGAAACGCUCUGGCUGGUAAACACCCCUGAACUACCAUUGGUCCGUGCUGCUGAUGUAAUAAGUGGGCGUGGCUCUGGGGCUCCGCCUUCUUUGAUGUGGAAGCUUUCUCCGGUUCAUGUCUUCUGUUCAGCUCAUUAUGGAAGCCACAGAAUAAAAGAAAUAAAAAAGUAGCAGAAACAUACUUGUGAGACACAAACUGAGAACUGCUGGAUAUAAACUAUCCUGAGAAAAAAGUCUGAAUUGUGAGGGGUUUUUUAUCUUGUGGCAGAAACAAGCUUCCAUAGUCCAUCGAGUUCAGAUACCUGUAAAAACAUAACCUUUUUCUGAAGCUUUGAAUCAACUUAAUUUUUUGCUUUGCUAAAUGAAUUAAUUUUUUUCAAUGCACUUGAAAGCGCUUGUUUUGUUUGUUUUAUUGAGGUCUUGGUUAAUUAAUGCCUCAAUGCAUAUCAUUGAAAUUUUAUAACAUUUCAAAAGAUAUUACUUAAUGAAGCCUUUAUUACUGAAAUCACGUGACUUUGGCAGUUUGAUACACUCUCUGAAUCACAGGUUUGAAACAAAUGAUUCGAAGCUUCACCAAGAGGCAUCUCUAAAACACACAUCACUAGAGGUCAGUUCAAAACACAAACACACUGCAGAGCUGCUUUACAGUAGAAACUCAAGGUGUAAUUCUAAAUAAAAGCUACACUGACACUAUUUAUCAUGUUUAUUAAUGUAAAGUGCUAUAUAAAUAAACAUAACAUGACUACAGCAACCA